AUUGAACGCUGGCGGCAGGCCUAACACAUGCAAGUCGAACGAGUGGCGGACGGGUGAGUAAUGUCUGGGAAACUGCCUGAUGGAGGGGGAUAACUACUGGAAAAGGGAGCUAAUACCGCAUACCAUCGGAUGUGCCCAGAUGGGAUUAGCUAGUAGGUGGGGUAAAGGCUUACCUAGGCGACGAUGCCUAGCUGGUCUGAGAGGAUGACCGGCCACACUGGAACUGAGACACGGCCCAGACUCCUACGGGAGGCAGCAGUGGGGAAUAUUGCACAAUGGGCGAAAGUCUGAUGGAGCCAUGCCGCGUGUAUGAAGAAGGCCUUCGGGUUGUAAAGUACUUUCAGCGAGGAGGCGUUACUCGCAGAAGAAGCACCGGCUAACUCCGUGCCAGCAGCCGCGGUAAUAC
rnacentral:rRNA from 1 species